CUUUUUUAAAAAACCCCUCAAACUUAGAAAAAAAAAAAAGGAGGAUAAUAAUAUCUAUGGAAGGUUGCUAUGAGUAUAAGAUGAAAUAAUACACGUGAAAUUCCCUAAGCUAGUGCCUAGCGUCAAAUAUGUGUUAAGAUAAAAUUUCUUCCCUUAGUUUCUUCUUAAGAUUUUCUCCUGUUGUUCGGCCAAAAGAUGGCAGCAGAGGGAAAAAUUUUCAAUUUAAUAUUCUCUGCUAGCAGCUGCUUAGCAGAGAAUACUAUUUCACUUAGUUCACCACUAUAAAUAUGUUAGAAUGAUCAGAAUCUUUAAGUACUCUGAAUUUUAAUAUUGCUAGCAGAAAAAUCUUUAAUAGAUUUUUUCAAUUUUAAUGUUAUAACUAUUCUUGUGAUCACAUACGGUUUCCACACAUAUCAAUCACUUCAGAUGAGGAGAAUAUAUUGUAAUUAGAAUCCUUAGCUAGGAGAGCCAUUAAGUAGACUGGAAACAUGCUGCUGAAACCACUUGACUCUCCAAGUAUUUUUAUUUGAGGGGCAAAUCAUUUAAUAAUUUCACAAUGCCUAUAUUCAUACAUGCUAAUUAACCACCAGUUAAUACUUCCAUCUUCCAAAGGAAUUUGCUAUAAUAACUUCAGUUCAGUUCAGCUGACAUUUGUUGAGUGCCUGUUAUAUGCCAAGCUCGGUGCUCUGAGCUGUCUUGGAAGAGUCUAUCAGGUUGGGCAAAGACACAAAUAGAAAUUCCAACACAUAAGGUAAGUGCUAAGGUAAAGGCGUGUACGCGGUGCCAUAGGAGCAAUGAGAAGCGUGCUACACCCAGCCUGGGAGAUCAGGGGCCUUUUUCUACGGCAGAUGAGGCCCUGAGCUGCUGUUCAAUGAAUGAGCUGGCUUUAGAAGAGCAAGAGUUGGCUGAGCAAAGACAAUCGGGAAGACAUUCCGAGAUGAGAACAAUCAGAAGCCAUGGCAUGAAUCUCAAGCUUACCAGUGGAAUGUUGGGAGAGGGGAAGCCGUGAGCAGGGGACCACCAGCAAUUACGUAUUACCUGAGAGUAAGGUUGAUUAUAACGAGGAGGAGAUGAAACCGGGGACCUGGGGUGUCCAGUUCAUUGAAGUCUUUGCAGACCAACAGAGGAACAUGAAUUUUAAUUAGUAAACAGUGAGUGAGUGUCUAAAGGGUUUUAGGCAAAGAAGGAAUAUGAUAAAAUUUUCCACUUUAGGUAAAUCAACCUGACAGAUGUGGCAGAUGAGCUUAAGGAAGACAAGAGGAGAAGCAGACACAUCAGACUAGGGCUAUUUUCCAGGGAAGAGAUCGCAUGUGUUUGAACUAAGUCAGGGAUGGCAGGUAGAAAAGAAUGUUUUAAUGAUUGGAGAGAAUUAAAAAUUUUUAAUUAAGUGGAGAGGAUGAACCAACAAAUAUGGAGAAGUUGAAGAUAUGACUGAAAGGGGACGAUUAAUGCAGAAAAGUCCUGAAGAAGACCUUUCAUGUAACAAGUUUCCUAUCCAUACCUGUAUAUAGCUACGACUACUCAUUCAAUUCUUUUUGCUGAAUGUUUGCAAGGAGGCUCUGGGUGGUGGGUUUAUCAAUUUUUUGGCCACCCAGCAAUGGAACUCCUUAAUGUUCAGGAGAAAUUCUCCACUGAUUUUUAGUUGGAGGCAAGGAUUCACUUCCACAACAACAUACCAGAUACUGCAUUUUCCUAGCCUAUCUUAUCUCCAGUGCACAGACAUGUGCCCUAGGCUUUGGCAAUGUUCCUGUUUGACUUUUGACUGUAGAGCCAAUGACAGAAGAAACAGGUGUGAUGAACUUUCUCUUUGGCACCUGCUGGCUGCUCAGACUUGAGCCUGGUUCUCCAGCCUCCAAGCAGUUAUCUGAGAAAUGCAAUAUCAGUUGAAUAAACUCCUUUUUUCUGCUUAAAUCAGCCAGAGUUGACUACUAUGGCUUGCAAAUGGAAUGCCAGGUGAUCAAAACCUCGCUCUGAUGUCCUUGGAGCCAUCACCAGUCUCUUGCUGAGUAAAUCACCCUUUCUCACUUUGUUCAGCCAGGGGCUUAUCUGGUAACCCUACCUCCUAUGUGUUCUGUCCCCAGGCAUCCAGGAAAUGGAGAUGAUUCUCUCAUGGAAAAGUCUCUGAGAACAGAGUGGACAGUAGAGAGCAGGAAAGACGGCUGAGUGUCCCAGCCUUGCUUUGGGCCUGUACCGUCUCCAAGUCAAUGAGAAAGAAAUCCGACUGGUUUAGGACCCCCAACAUCACACCUGCAUAGGAUCUAGAGUAGAUCUGCUUAACUGAGCCCAGGGGGGAAUGCCUGGAACAGCAGAAGCAGACCUCCUGCAACUUCCAGAUGACAGCAUGAGGACAAAAGCCAGCAGGCUAAGCACAGCAGAGUGGGAAGAGAGCUGAGUCCCUUAUGGCAUCAUUUUGCAGCUGAACUGAUGCCAGCAACAACCUGCCUCUGGACUUAAGAAUGCAAGACACUUUCUGGAUGGACUGGAAUAUCUCGGAAAGAGGCACCAGUUAUCAGUUACUAAUUGCUUGGGUCCCAGGUUUGACUGGCCAUCAAACCAAGUGGAAAGAAGAAGAAAACAGAUAAUCUCCCUGAGCCAGUUUCAACUUCCACACAAAUUCUGAUGCACAUUAAAUCUGAAAUCUCCAGGGGCUGGCCCCGUGGCCGAGUGGUUAAGUUUGCACGCUCCGCUGCAGGUGGCCCAGUGUUUCGUUGGUUCGAAUCCUGGGCGCGGACAUGGCACU